GACGUAGGGCGCGAGCGUUGUCCGGAUUUAUUGGGCGUAAAGAGCUCGUAGGCGGCUUGUCGCGUCUGCCGUGAAAGUCCGGGGCUCAACUCCGGAAUCUGCGGUGGUACGGGCAGGACUAGAGUGAUGUAGGGGAGACUGGAAUUCCUGGUGUAGCGGUAGAAAUGCGCAGAUAUCAGGAGGAACACCGAUGGCGAAGGCAGGUCUCUGGGCAAUUAACUGACGCUGGAGGAGCGAAAAGCGUGGGGGAGCGAAACAGG
rnacentral:rRNA from 1 species